GCCCGCUACUGCUGCGCCCGCGCGGCGGCUUUCCUCAGCCCACGGCGGGCGCUGCGCCGGCCCCGGCGCCGAGGGGCGGCGUCCCGCCAUGGCGGCGGGCAGCGGGGCGGCCACCCCGCAGUGCGGCGCGACACGGCCCGGCCUCGGGACCCGGGCUGGCCGGGGGCGGGCGGAGCGCAGCAGGUGCUGGCAGUGUGGAGGAAGAAGCUGGCUUUGGCGGUGGAGAUGAGAGAGCUGCGAAGUGCAGGAAGCAGCUGAUGAGGAGCCGGGAAGGAAGCUCAGCUAUCACUAACUGGAAGGUGGGCUUCAGUUGUGAAACACUUGGAUACUGUUGUGAAGAGUCACAUGGUAAGGAGAGACUGGGAAGUAAUGAUUCCUGUAUUCUGUGAAGAGUGAGGUGUUUCAGCAAAGAAAAAAAGCAGAGAAUUAGAAAAAAAGCCUGAAGAGAACAAAAGUUGAGCAUCAUUACAAACACAAGCUGAAGUCAAGCAAAAAGUGAAAGAGCAUCAAAAUGUAUAACCACACUACUUUGUGGAGUGUGACAACAGUGACACAAGAAGAUUUAAUUUUGUUUAUAUACCAGGUUUCUAUUAUCUGAUUCUGUUUCUGUUGUUCUUUCAACGUAGGUUGUUAAAAAUAAUAAUAAAAAAACCCCAACCAAACAAAAUCCCCAUUUUCCUUGAUGCUCCUUUCUGUACGAAGUAUUUUGUCAGGCUAAACUUUCUCCAGUUGUCUGAUACCAUGAAAUGAUUGGACCACUGCUGUGAUAUACAUUCUCUCUCUUUUCCAGUUACCUAAAUACUUUGUUUCUUUUUGUGGAAGUACUUUUUUUAAACAAAAAGUCAGUCAUGAAAAAAGUUAACAAGCUUGUUGACUUGCGUCUACAUGCAAAUGAUGUCUCUCCCCAAAGCUUGCAAUCAGUUUUUCCCCUCCAUCUACUACUUGGUUUUCUUGUAGUGUUGGGCUUCAAGAUUUGACACCAAUGAUGAAAGAAGGGGUUUCAGGAAUGUCAUUCUUCAGGUUGUGAGAUUCUGACUCAGCCUGGUAUGAGUUUUCAGUGGAUUAAGUGGAUAAUGGUUCCUGUCAUAUGACUGUAGUCAUAAAACUAAUCUUGAGCCAUAUCUUGUGACUUAAGAUAAGAAGUAUUUUUUAACUUUUUUUUUUUUUACUUUUAACAUAGUAACUGUUUAACUGUGAGCAAUGCAUAUUUUAAUUCCAGACCCUAAGUGGUAAUAUUUGGCAAAAAUGGAGCUAAAGUGUUUUUUGCCAUACAGGAGAGUACUGAGAGGGUUGUUUGUCUUAAGUCUGGACAUAGUUGUAUGACACUGUUUUUUGGACGUUUAUGCUAACAAAGAAAACAGCGUAUUUUGAACUGGCAUGGAGAGCAAUCCUAGAGCUAUGGAAAACCACAGUGCUUUGCACCUGGAGUAUGACGAGGGACCCAGACCUACCAGAAAGUCAAUGCUUUUGAGAUUAUUUCUGGAGUCACAGUAAUGCUUGUGAAGACACUGACAAGAAGAGUACCAUUUGGGAUGAUGUGCAGAGAAAUACGGUUGUUGAUACUUUAUUGGUUGGGUAUUAGUUGAAGCUGUUUUGA